UACAGAGGUCUCAAGCGUUGUUCGGAUUCAUUGGGCGUAAAGGGUGCGUAGGCGGCAAGGCAAGUCAGGUGUGAAAUCCCGGGGCUCAACCCCGGAACUGCACUUGAUACUGCCGUGCUAGAGUACUGGAGAGGAGACUGGAAUUUACGGUGUAGCAGUGAAAUGCGUAGAUAUCGGGAGGAACACCUGUGGCGAAAGCGGCGCACUGGACCACAACUGACGCUGAGGCGCGAAAGCUAGGGGAGCAAACAGG
rnacentral:rRNA from 1 species